UACGUAGGGGGCAAGCGUUGUCCGGAAUUAUUGGGCGUAAAGAGCGUGUAGGCGGUCCGGUAAGUCAGCUGUGAAAGUCAAGGGCUCAACCCUUGAAUGCCGGUUGAUACUGUCGGGCUAGAGUCCGGAAGAGGCGAGUGGAAUUCCCGGUGUAGCGGUGAAAUGCGCAGAUAUCGGGAGGAACACCGAUGGCGAAGGCAGUCCCCUGGGCCUGUACUGACGCUCAUGCACGAAAGCGUGGGGAGCAAACAGG
rnacentral:rRNA from 1 species